GUUGGCUCUUGUUUCCCUUUAAACAAACGAUAAAUCAAGAGCUUCGGCACGCGACCUUUGGCAACACACCCGGAGAAGGACGAGGUCUUGUUCGGGUUCUCCAGAGAAAACGAUGCCCCUCCCUGCAUUUCAGAGGCCCGGGUGACAUUUUUAAAUAGCCCCCACCCCGUUUUUUGGUUGUUGUUCAAAGACAAAGCCCAGUGGGAUGAUCGCUGUAAAGAAGAACGCAGACAAGGGCGACCAGACCUCGCUCCUAAGUAAUGCCACUUAGCAGCACUACGGGACUCUCGGACAGUCCGCGGCUCAGACGCUUUAUUUUAAAGACGCGAUCGGCCCAGGGCUUCGCAGCUAGAUUUGAUCAGGAGUUAAACAGCCGCGUGCCCCCCGAGCUCCCUCCAACAAGUCCCGUUGAACAGAGAUAAACAGCCCGCAAGGCUUCGCAGCGCGGCGGCCGCGGCGCCUGGCCGCCAGACUGGAGCUGGCGGUCCGGGCAGCCUCUCGCUUCUCCCACUUGUAAGUUUCCUGCGACGUGGAUCUAGUCGGGUCCCAGCCAGCGGCGUCUCCCUUCCCGCACGCUGGAUUCACGGCGGCACCUGCUUCCACGGGACACCUACGCGCGUGACAUGGAGAGGCGACGCGAAAGGGACCCCUGGUUCCUAGGAGGCUGCCAGCCACUGUAGGUUUACAUGGAGCAUCCCUGGCUGCGUUCGGACCCUACAGGCAGCUGGUGAGAGCUCUGCUUGUUCUGUAAAGUGGAUGUCAGGUGGAUCUAUGGUCUUGAAGGAACAAAGAGCAAACGAAGGGAAAGCCGUGGAAGUUUGAGCCGGGAGGAUGCAGGCUGUGUAUUGGUACGCCGUGCUUCUGCUGCAGCCUACUCUCUACCUGAUGCAGAUACAAGGAUCAAUUGUGCUCAGCCCUAUACAGGUGAAUAAGGAAAUGGAGGAUGGGGCAUUGGAGAAGAUUGAAGGAGCCUUCUGAUCCCCUGCACAGGAGUCAAAUGCAGGCUAAUGCUCAGUGCACAGGAAGGAUUGGGGAGACAAGGCCCCAAAAUCUUCUCUGCUAUGGGAUGGACCAUUGCCAUAGGUAGGAUUAGGAGAAGCAUAUGCUGGACCCUCUCAGAGUGUGUUCCCUUUGCCCUACCGAAGAUCAUUUCUUCCACCACAGAAGGACACUACCAUUGACUAUGUCAAGUAGGGCCUUUGGAAGUACUGGGCCAUAUUCUUUUUCCACACUAAUUUUACAAUCUGCUUAAUUUACACCAGUUCAAAUGACGGACCCAUUGUGCUUGCCUGAGGCAAAGUGCUUUCCAGCUCAUUGCAUUACUUCUUCCCAUGGGUUGUGAUUUUAAGCUGCAUCCGAGCCCAGAUAAUUUUUCCAGCUAGGACAGCUGGUGGCUUCCUUAUUCUUUGGUUGCCUGAAGAAAGUAAUGAGCUGUAUUCUCCAGAGUGGCACAAAGUGGCUGCUUUCUGGCUGGAGGUGGGCAACAGAGAAUCUACCUCAUAUUGUGGAACUCUCUUCUGGUGUAAAACUGGUAUAAAGAGAUGGUAAAGGGAUGACUUGACUACAAUCUAUAAGUAGUUAUGUGGGGAACAAAUAUUUAAUAAAGGCUCUUCAACCUAGCAGAGAAAGGUAUAACAUGAUCCAAUGGUUGGAAGUUGAAGCUAGACAAAUUCAGACUGGAAAUAAAGUGUAAAUGUUUGACUUUAUCCAAUUAUCCAUUGGAACAAUUUACCAAGGGUCAGGCUGGAUUCUCCAAGUAAGAUUCAAUGUUUUUCUAAAAGAUAUGAUCUAGGAAUUAUUUUGGGGAAGUUCUCUGGGGGAGGUCAGACUAGAUCACAGUGGUUCCUUCUGAUCUUGGAAUUUACAAGACAGUGUAGCUGCCUCUUGUGCCUGCCCCAGGCCCAACCUCCACUGUAGGGGCAUUAGAGGAUGUGGGGGAUCAGAGCUCUGCUACAACAAAUUUUCCACUGGCAGCUCUCUUAGGGAUCUUAUACGGGUAACAAAAGUUAGAGCUGCUCCUCCGCUGCUUUAACUUAUGCCAGGACCAAACAACACAGGGCCAGGGAACCAUGGGCUUGCUCCAGCAAGCACCCCUCUCUUCUGUGCCUGAGCUCCUCUUAUGCAGGGUGGAGAAUCUAACCCAAUUUGACUAUAUUUUCCAGCUUAAAGGAAACUGGUGUCUUAUCACAGAGACAUCUGCUUCCAUUCCAGAGAUGACAUUCCCUGGUUCAGCUGCUCAUGGCAGAAAAUAAAAUUGACAAGAUUUAUAAAAUCAACUUUUUUCUGUGUCAAACUUGAAUUUGUCUUUCAAUUAGAGUCUGUGCAGUGCUUAACCUGAUGAAAUGGCAAAUUGUCCAGGACUCAAUCUUUGUUUAAAUAAUUUCUUUACUGUUCAAUUUUUUCCCUCUUAACUUUAAUUUUUUUUAAAGUAAAUCUAUUGCUGGCUUGACAGCAAAGGAGACUGAAACCUGAUUUUAUCCAGUGACCCAUGGGCUAAAAGCUACUUAUCACAUUAUCAGUCUCCUUAGCCACCCAGUUACAUGUAGCUCUGCUUAGCAUUUAUAUAUUCAGUGGGUUUCUAACCACCGUGGGAAUUUGCAACUCUACAAAGUUACACAAGACAUUUUUUAUUUUUCAACUCCUUGACUGUAAAUGGAGGUUCCAUCUUCUGUAAAGCAUUUUCAGUGGAUAAAAUUACUUAUUAUAACUUCCCAGUUUUUUCCAUACCAGAGACUGACAUACAGUAAGGUUAAUCUAACCCAUGAACUAGAAAAUACAAAUAUGUCAAAAUAGAUUAACUAUAAUAAAUAGCUAUAACUGUAUAGAUAUAGAUGUAUAGAUGUUGAUAUAGUUACAUAUAGAUAUAGAUAUCUAGAUUGCUUAAUAAUACUCUUAUGGUGAAAAUAAAAUAAAUAGGCUAGAUGCUCCACUCCUUUUGCACCUUGUGUUGUCACUUACACCUGUGGAAACCUGUGCAAAAACUGCGAAAACAGAAUGAUAAUGUUUAUACCUACUGUGUACAAGCAUAAAUGACUACACAAAGUACAAGCACGUGUUGAAUUAAGCCCAGUGUCAUCUCUUGCAUUUUUAUGGUUGCAGAACUGUUGACCAUUGUGACCAAGACUUUCAAAAUUGGGAACCUAAAGCUAGGCUCCUCAAUCCAUCUAAAUAAGUAACCAGAUUUUCAGAAUUGCUGAGAACCCACCAGCUCCCUUUAUCCUCAACAAAUACUCAGGGGGUACAGUACUUUCAAAAAUAAGACUGGUCAGGUGUCUUUGAAAAUCAGGUGCCUAAAUAGGUUCCUAGGAGCCAAACUUUCAGCUCCUCUUUUUAAAAAAUUUCGGCCUACUUGUUUUUCAUGGUGUGGGAUUAAUCACUUAAAUCACAUGGUAUUGUUCCAGCUACCUGGUUGGUUGACUGAAACUGUUUGAACAUGAGAAUAACAAAUAAUGAACAACUAAUAAGUAGUAAAGUUUCAGCAAUUUAUUUUGUCUGCAUAUGGUAUUUCUAUGAGGAUAUGGUAUUUUUAUGAGGAGUUAUUCUCCAAAGAAUUGCAUGAACCAAAAAUCUGUUUGGGAAAAUAUUUGCAAAGAGUGAAUAAAAGGAAUGCAAACAUAGAUGAAGAGAACAGCCAUUCUGAAUUAGAAUGAAGUUUGGUGAACAUUGUUUUAGCAGUAUUCAUAGCUCACGAAUACAUGUCAGUCCAGUGGCACAGCUGUUUGCUCCAUUCUUUGUUUUCUUGUCUUCUCCUAAUUAAAAGAAAUGUUGAGUUUGCUAACAGUAUAGAGGUUUAAUUAGGAUCCGAUCCCAAGAGGUGCUGAGCACUCAUAAUCUCUCUUGAAAUCAGUGGGUUUGAUUCUGAUCUCAAUUUCCACUACUGGACAUUAGUGAAGACAGUGGAGUUAUACCAAGUGAGAUCAGGAACAGACCCAGUGAUUUCACAGAAAGUUGAGGGUGUUCAGCACUUUGCAGGAUGAGAUCCUUGAGGACCCUUUAUUAUCUCAGGUGACAUAGAAAAGCUAGAUCUUCCUUUUAUAUGUAUUAUUUGUUAAUAAAAAGAUAUGAGAAAAGAA